GACAGAGGGUGCAAACGUUGCUCGGAAUUACUGGGCGUAAAGCGCGUGUAGGCGGACGUGUAAGUCAGGUGUGAAAUCCCCGGGCUCAACCCGGGAACUGCACUUGAAACUGCGCGUCUUGAGUACUGGAGAGGGUAGUGGAAUUCCUGGUGUAGAGGUGAAAUUCGUAGAUAUCAGGAGGAACACCGGUGGCGAAGGCGGCGACCUGGGUCGAUACUGACGCUGAUGCGCGAAAGCGUGGGGAGCAAACAGG
rnacentral:rRNA from 1 species